rnacentral:misc_RNA from 1 species
GAUGAAGAACGCAGCGAAAUGCGAUAAGUAAUGUGAAUUGCAGAAUUCAGUGAAUCAUCGAAUCUUUGAACGCACCUUGCGCUCCUUGGUAUUCCAAAGAGCAUGCCUGUUUGAGUAUCAUUAAAUUAUCAACUGUACCAAUUUGGUUGCAGAUUGGAUGUGGGAGAUUUUGCAGGCUUUUGAUUUCUCUUUGAGAAAACGGUCAGCUCUCCUGAAAUAUAUUAGCAGUGCCUUUGUUGGUUCAUUAGGUGUGAUAAUUUAUCUACAUCUUCACAUGGUACCUUCAUUUGUGUAAAGGUCAUAUUGCUUCUAAUUGUCUUUGGACAUAAAAAAAAAAAAACAUAUAAUUGUAUGGAAAACUUGAUCUCAAAUCAGGCAGGACUACCCGCUGAACUUAAGCAUAUCAAUAAGCGGAGA